rnacentral:rRNA from 1 species
GAUGAACGCUGGCGGCGUGCUUAACACAUGCAAGUCGAACGAAGAGUUAUUAAAUGAGAGCUUCGGCAGGAAUUUGAUAAAUCUUAGUGGCGGACGGGUGAGUAACGUGUGGGCAACCUGCCUUAUACUGGGGAAUAAUCACUGGAAACGGUGACUAAUACCGCAUAAUGUCUUCUUGCGGCAUCGUAAGAAGAAGAAAGGAGCAAUCCGGUAAAAGAUGGGCCCGCAUCUGAUUAGCUAGUUGGUGAGAUAACAGCCCACCAAGGCGACGAUCAGUAGCCGACCUGAGAGGGUGAUCGGCCACAUUGGGACUGAGACACGGCCCAAACUCCUACGGGAGGCAGCAGUGGGGAAUAUUGCACAAUGGGGGAAACCCUGAUGCAGCAACGCCGCGUGAAGGAAGAAGGUUUUCGGAUCGUAAACUUCUAUCAAUAGGGACGAAAUAAAUGACGGUACCUAAAUAAGAAGCCCCGGCUAACUACGUGCCAGCAGCCGCGGUAAUACGUAGGGGGCAAGCGUUAUCCGGAAUUACUGGGUGUAAAGGGAGCGUAGGCGGCAUGGUAAGUAAGAUGUGAAAGCCCGAGGCUUAACCUCGAGGAUUGCAUUUUAAACUAUCAAGCUAGAGUACAGGAGAGGAAAGCGGAAUUCCUAGUGUAGCGGUGAAAUGCGUAGAUAUUAGGAAGAACACCAGUGGCGAAGGCGGCUUUCUGGACUGAAACUGACGCUGAGGCUCGAAAGCGUGGGGAGCAAACAGGAUUAGAUACCUUGGUAGUCCACGCCGUAAAC